rnacentral:lncRNA from 1 species
CAGAAGUCAGGUCGGAUUAAGCCAUAGUACGGAAAAAACUAUGCUACCUGUGAGCCCCGUCCAAGGACGUUAAAAGAAGUCAGGCCACCACAAGUGCCAUAGCUUGAGUAAACUAUGCAGCCUGUAGCUCCACCUGAGAAGGUGUAAAAAAUCUGGGAGGCCACAAACCAUGGAAGCUGUACGCAUGGCGUAGUGGACUAGCGG